GGAAGCCCGCACCCGCCGCCGAGGGACGACCCGGAGCAGGUGAAGAAACUGAGGCUGGAGAAAUUAAGUUCCUUGAUUAGGACAUCUCUACUUAAUCUUACUGGAAUCCAGUGCACACUUGAAACAGUAGAAAAACAAUGUAAGGUUAUUUAGCAAAGUGCUAAAAGCUCUUGGAGUCGAGGCAAUGGGGAAAUCAAUACAGGUUUACAAACAACAUUUUUCAAGCAACUGUGGUAUAAAUGGUACCCUUCUGGGUACUAUGUAGUCAUGGGCUCACAUCAAGUGCAGAAGACAAAUACACAAAUGAGUUAUAAUACAAUGUGUAGGAUACUACAUGUUUAGGAUGUUUAGACUCAAGGUACUCUGGGCUAGAGUGCUUCACCAGGGAGAGGUCAGUGAGGUUUCACAGAGAAUUUAAUGAUUAAAAUGGGUCUUGAAGGAUAGUUGAGAUCUUUUCAAGUGGAGAAAAGGGCAAGUCAUAUCUGGCAGUAGGAAAAGCAUGGACAAAGGUACAGAAAGCUGGAUAUACAUGGCAAGACUGAGAAUCAGUGAUUCACUGUGUCUGGAGGUCAAGUACAUAAAAGUUUGUAGAGAUGAGCCUGGAAAGAGAAAUUGGGGCCAUGUUGUAUGUGAGGUGAAAGAGUUUACAUAUUAACCUCCAGGAAAUGGGAAAAUGAAGAUAUUUUAGAGUGACAGAUCUGCAAUAUGAGGGGAAAUUUGAGCCAGAGAAAAAAUGACACCUGAGCUUUAUGUUGAAUUCCACUUUAGAUUUGGAUAAACAAAGAAGUGGGUAUAGAGCAGAAGCAGGGGCUUGGAGUCCUGACAAGCAUUGUCAAUUUAUAGGGACAAAGAGACCAGCCAGGUGAAAAAGGCAUAAUCUUAGGAAAGCACGAGUGGUGGAGGAAAAGAUUAUACAAUGAAAAACCUUGAAUGGCUUGAUGAGGUUGGAAAGUUGGACUUCAUCGUAUAGGUAGAUUGGGUCCCCUGGUUGUUUUGAUCAUGUUUUAGAUACGAAAUGAAUUGUGAAUUGAGUAAGUAAGAAAGGAAGCAUCAAAUUCUCGCUAUGUGGCAGUGAAAAUAGUCUCUGCUUGAAACAGUGAACCCCAGCUGGUGGCAAUGAGUCUGAAUGGGGAAAAGUAGUCCUCAGCAAUGUUUGAAAGAUAAACCAAAGGUCCUUGAUUUAAAAAGAUGUCUAUCACAACCUCUGUGUAAUUUCUCUCAAAUUCUCACUAAAAUAACUGGUCACAUACUUAAAAAAAAAAAAAAAAAAAAAGCCAAGCUACCAAAAACUGGGAUUGUUAACCUUUUUCCAGAGUCCAGAAGAAAUAUUUUUCCUACCAUAUUAAUGUAACUCAUUGGAAAAUUCAUUUAAUAAUCUAUAAUAUAUAUAUUAUAAUCUAUAAUAUAUAAUAUAAUCUAAUAAUGCUAAUAAUAUUAAUAAUUAUUAAUAUUAAUAAUAAUCUAAUAAUGCUAUGUCUUAUUUUUAAAAGGUAGGUGCUUCAUCCCUCCUUACUGUUCACCCUCCUGGGAAAUCACAGGUCUGCACCUGUGCUUCCCAAAAUUCAGUGUGCAUCCUGAUCAUCUGGAGAACUUGUUAAACUAUAGAUUCUCAGGCUUCACUCCCCACCCUGAGAUUCUGACUUAGUAGGUCUGAAAAGGCCCAAGAAUGUGCAUUCUUGGCAAUACCUAUAAGAGAUAACCUGCAUGCCACACGUUUUAGUCAUAAAACUAGAUAACAGUUCUCUCCAUUGUUUUGUUUUGCUCUAAGUCUGUCCCACCUGUUCAUCCUCUUCAGCACUUUUUCUAAAACAAUUUGUGAGUGCUCUCCCCUUAUCCACAAUAAAAUAAAAUAAAAUAAAAUAAAAUAAAAUAAAAUAAAAUAAAAUAAAAACUGAACAGGGAAUUGGAGAAGAGAGGAAAGAACAGGUGAUGGCCCCUUUACAUCAUGAAAUGAUUUUAGACAAGGACAUGGCAAGAAUAGCAGCCCUGAGAAGACUUUAAACUGGAGAGUUCUUGAACUCCCAUCUAUUCAGAGAAUAGGAAGGAACCCAACAGAACCACAAGAUCCAUACCCUGCUAGAUCUUAAGAUCUGUGAAGGGGAUUCCACCAGCACACAAGGGGACAAAGGAGGGCCAAAGACAGUUCGACCAGUCUGUCUGCUGGCAAACACCAGGUCAGGCUAGGUAGAACACUCUGUAUCCAAAAUUAAGUAAAAAAGAGGAUAAUGGAAUCCAUUUUAAAAAUAGUAUACUAUGGAACAAAGAAAAUAAAAUAGCAUGUCAAUUUAAGAGGUACAUAAAUCACUGAAAAUUUAUUACCCUGCUGAGGGGGGAAAAUGCCACUUGCCAUGGUUAAGGAUACAAGAAUACAGAGUCUUUAUGAAAUAAAAGUGAGCAAGAACAUGAGAAGUUGAGAGAGAGAGAUGAAAAGGGUAAGAAAGGGUAAAAAGAUACACUAGAAGAACCCCCACCCCCUGCAAACACUUAAUGCUGGAAAAAAUAGUUUAAAGCAGCACUUAAAAUGAACUUGGAAGCUUAUGAGAAAGUAGGGAAAAUUCUGUAAGUCGACGAGUAAAUCUGGGAGGAAGAGUCUGGGAGGGUGAGGAAUCACCAAAGGUGCUGGAUGCCCUGAAAACCUCUACUGUCCCAGGUGCCUAUAGCUUUAGGUGACACACAGGACAGGGAGUGGACUAAAGACCCCAGCAUAAACCAGGAUGGGAAAACGUCUACACAAAUGGUAAACUAGGGGGGAAAUUGCUGAGGUAGACAAAAAGGCAUCAUAUCUAUCUGCUUGAUUCUAGGUAGAUUUUUUUUCCUUAAGACUUUGUGGCUUCUGCCUGAAAUUUAGAUGGGUUUGAUGCCUGAAUAUACAGGAUUUGAUUGCUAUGAAGAAAAAUAUAAGCCAUAAUUUUAAUUUAGAUGGACUCAGUCAUUAUAUAGGAUAUUUGUACAGCACAAUUAAUAAGCUCUAUUUGAUUAAUGCACAAAAAAAUGGCAAGCAUAAGUUGAAGGGUGCACAUUAUCUGCCAGAAUAAAUAGAACAUUAGAAAUGAGUUAUGUUAAAGUCUAUAAAGCAUGUUUCAACAAAAAUCAAAGAACAGAGAACACAAUUUCAGAUCUUAAUGCAAUUAAGUGAGAAAUCAAUUUUAUGACUUUUUUCAGAUAUAGAUAUGUUUCUGUGUACUCAUGGGUCAAAAAAGAAAAUAAAAUUAGAAAACACUUGGAACUGAACAAUAGUGAAAAUGCCUCCUAUUAAAUCCUGUGAUGUGCAGCUAAAGUUUUCCUGUACUUAGAGGCUAAAAAUUUAAUGGACUAACCUUUCAACUUAAAAAGUAUGAAAAAGAAUAACAUAUUAAAUCCAAAGGAAGUUGAAAGAAGGAAUACUAAAGACAAACAAAAAUUAAUGACAUGGAAAGCAAAGAUAAAAGAAUAAGCAAAAACAAAACUUAGUUAUGUGUAAAGACUAAUUUUUGUAGCAGAAAUAAAGUGAACUCAAGAGAAAUGUUGGAAAAUAAAGUUUAAUAAGUCUCCCAGAAAAAGGAACAGAAAUAUUAAGAAAAAGAAAAG